rnacentral:rRNA from 1 species
CCGGCGAGAGACCGAUAGCGCACAAGUAGAGUGAUCGAAAGAUGAAAAGCACUUUGGAAAGAGAGUUAAAAAGCACGUGAAAUUGUUGAAAGGGAAGCGCUUGCAAUCAGACUUGUUUAAACUGUUCGGCCGGUCUUCUGACCGGUUUACUCAGUUUGGACAGGCCAGCAUCAGUUUCGGCGGCCGGAUAAAGGCCCUAGGAAUGUGACCCCCUCUUCGGAGGGGGUGUUAUAGCCUGGGGUGUAAUACGGCCAGCCGGGACUGAGGUCCGCGCUUCGGCUAGGAUGCUGGCGUAAUGGUUGUAAGCGACCCGUCUUGAAACACGGACCAAGGAGUCUAACAUCUAUGCGAGUGUUCGGGUGUCAAACCCCUGCGCGUAAUGAAAGUGAACGGAGGUGUGAACCGCAAGGUGCAACAUCGACCGAUCCUGAUGUCUUCGGAUGGAUUUGAGUAAGAGCAUAGCUGUUGGGACCCGAAAGAUGGUG